rnacentral:pre_miRNA from 1 species
AUUACACUUCUUCCGUACUACACAUGAUUUUGUUCAUCUGUUGGAAGUUGUAUUGAUGGCUUCGUUGUCUUAGCGUUCGAAGCCAUCAAUACAACUUCCAACAGAUGAACAAAAUCAUGUGUAGUACGGAAGAAGUGUAAU